UACGGAGGGUGCAAGCGUUAAUCGGAAUUACUGGGCGUAAAGCGCACGUAGGUUGUCCUGUAAGUCAGGGGUGAAAGCCCGCGGCUCAACUGCGGAACUGCCCUUGAUACUGCAGGACUCGGAUCCGGGAGAGGUCAGCGGAAUUCCAGGUGUAGGAGUGAAAUCCGUAGAUAUCUGGAGGAACAUCAGUGGCGAAGGCGGCUGACUGGACCGGCAUUGACGCUGAGGUGCGAAAGCGUGGGUAG
rnacentral:rRNA from 1 species